CCGGCGGGCCGGGGGAUGGCGCUGCUGGACCUGGCCCUGGAGGGAAUGGCCGUCUUCGGUUUCGUCCUCUUCUUGGUGCUGUGGCUGAUGCAUUUCAUGGCUAUCAUCUACACCCGAUUACACCUCAACAAGAAGGCAACUGACAAACAGCCUUAUAGCAAGCUCCCAGGUGUCUCUCUUCUGAAACCACUGAAAGGGGUAGAUCCUAACUUAAUCAACAACCUGGAAACAUUCUUUGAAUUGGAUUAUCCCAAACCUUUAUUUUUCUCGGUAGCACCAAUGAAAAGAAUAGAGAAGACACAGAUGUGAUAGCCUUAAUGCAGCACUUAUUAAUAUGAAGUGCUCCUUUGUGUACAAGAUCAUGAUGAUCCAGCCAUUGAUGUAUGUAAGAAGCUUCUUGGAAAAUAUCCAAAUGUUGAUGCUAGAUUGUUUAUAGGUGGCAAAAAAGUUGGCAUUAAUCCUAAAAUUAAUAAUUUAAUGCCAGGAUAUGAAGUUGCAAAGUAUGAUCUUAUAUGGAUUUGUGAUAGUGGAAUAAGAGUAAUUCCAGAUACGCUUACUGAUAUGGUGAAUCAAAUGACAGA
rnacentral:sRNA from 1 species